rnacentral:rRNA from 1 species
GAUGAACGCUGGCGGCGUGCCUAACACAUGCAAGUCGAACGAAGCAUUGCGCCCGACAAAGAGGAGUGCUUGCACAAAUCGGAGUCAAUUGUGAUGACUUAGUGGCGGACGGGUGAGUAACGCGUGGGUAACCUGCCUUAUACAGGGGGAUAACAGUUAGAAAUGACUGCUAAUACCGCAUAAGCGCACAGUAUCGCAUGAUACAGUGUGAAAAGCCGAGACGGUAUAAGAUGGACCCGCGUCUGAUUACCCACUUGGCAGGUUAACGGCCUACCAAAGCAACGAUCAGUAGCCGGCCUGAGAGGGUGAACGGCCACAUGGGGACUGAGACACGGCCCAAACUCNUACGGGAGGCAGCAGUGGGGGAUAUUGCACAAUGGGGGAAACCCUGAUGCAGCGACGCCGCGUGAGCGAUGAAGUAUUUCGGUAUGUAAAGCUCUAUCAGCAGGGAAGAAAAUGACGGUACCUGACUAAGAAGCUCCGGCUAAAUACGUGCCAGCAGCCGCGGUAAUACGUAUGGAGCAAGCGUUAUCCGGAUUUACUGGGUGUAAAGGGAGCGUAGACGGUGUGCCAAGUCUGAUGUGAAAGGUGUGGGCUCAACCCGCAAACUGCAUUGGAAACUGGUGUACUUGAGUGUCGGAGAGGUAAGUGGAAUUCCUAGUGUAGCGGUGAAAUGCGUAGAUAUUAGGAGGAACACCAGCGGCGAAGGCGGCUUACUGGACGAUAACUGACGUUGAGGCUCGAAAGCGUGGGGAGCAAACA